CUACAAUGGCGUAAACAAAGGGAAGCGAAGCCGCGAGGCGGAGCGAACCCCAAAAAUAACGUCCCAGUUCGGACUGUAGUCUGCAACCCGACUACACGAAGCUGGAAUCGCUAGUAAUCGCGGAUCAGCAUGCCGCGGUGAAUACGUUCCCGGGUCUUGUACACACCGCCCGUCACACCAUGGGAGCCGGAAAUGCCCGAAGCCUGUGACCCAACCCAGUAGGGAGGGAGCAGUCGAAGGUGGAGCCGGUAACUGGGGUGAAGUCGUAACAAGGUAAC
rnacentral:rRNA from 1 species